CAGGAUGCAGACGGCCGAGAGUGUGGUGCCUCCCCCGAGAGGAGUUCACAUUUCCUUCCUCUUAAUCUGAGUGAACCAUUAAAAAGUUACUUAGUUCCCUGGAGACCCUUCCCAAGGAAUCUCCUAAAAGGAAAUACCCUGCACUGGAAAGCCUUGAGGAGCAUGUGCCUGGUUCCAAGAGGAGGAUGAAAAACAUAAAGACUGGAGACAUCCUAUCUGGGUUCCCCCAGACAAGUUCAGCCUGAUCAAGGAAGCCCCCACUGACCUGGAAAUCCACAAGGGAUAAUGAAGAGUCGCUGACUGUCUAAAGCCACUGCCUUUGAGAGUGGUUUGUUGUACAGCAGCAAAUAUCUGAUACAAUUAUUUCCCCAUGUGUGUUACUACAGAAUGUCUGACAAGAAUCAGGACUGUUCCAGGGCUUUUGGAGCCCUCUGGUCUCUCCGGAUGGUGACAUUCUAUCUUGACAACUCAGAUCCAGCCACCAGGAAGAAUUGCAAGAUGAAAUCGCAUGCACUUGACAAGCAUUUAUCAAAUCUGAAUUUAUUUCCUGAUUACAAAAGUAUUCCAUGUUACUGGUAGGCUAGGAAACUAUAGAAAGAAUCACCAGCUAUAGAAUCAGAAAGAGUAACUUAAUAUUUUUCCAGUCUCUUUUUCUUUCUUCA
ensembl:lncRNA